rnacentral:rRNA from 1 species
UACGUAGGCAGCAAGCGUUGUUCGGAGUUACUGGGCGUAAAGGGCGCGUAGGCGGUUCGUACAGUCAGGCGUGAAAUUCCCGGGCUUAACCUGGGGGCUGCAUUUGAUACGUGUUGUCUUGAGUUCGGAAGAGGGUCGUGGAAUUCCCAGUGUAGAGGUGAAAUUCGUAGAUAUUCGGAAGAACACCCGUGGCGAAGGCGGCUCUCUGGGACGGUACUGACGCUGAGACGCGAAAGCGUGGGGAGCGAACAGG